CAAUAGCGUAUAUUAAAGUUGUUGCAGUUAAAAAGCUCGUAGUUGAAUUUUUGCUUGCCGCCGAUGUCGGAACUUCCGUACGUUCGGCGGCGUGCAUCCUUGGGUGGAACCUGUGUGGCAUUAGGUUGUCGUGCAGGGGAUGCUCAUCGUUUACUGUGAAAAAAUUAGAGUGUUCAAAGCAGGCUUACGCCGUUGAAUAUAUUAGCAUGGAAUAAUAAGAUAGGACCUUGGUACUAUUUUGUUGGUUUGCGCACCGAGGUAAUGAUUAACAGGGACAGUCGGGGGUAUUCGUAUUCCAUUGUCAGAGGUGAAAUUCUUGGAUUUCUGGAAGACGAACUACUGCGAAAGCAUUUACCAAGGAUGUUUUCAUUAA
rnacentral:rRNA from 1 species